UACGGAGGGGGCUAGCGUUGUUCGGAAUUACUGGGCGUAAAGCGCACGUAGGCGGCCUUCUAAGUCGGACGUGAAAUCCCUCGGCUCAACCGGGGAACUGCGUCCGAUACUGGAUGGCUUGAAUUCGGGAGAGGGAUGCGGAAUUCCAGGUGUAGCGGUGAAAUGCGUAGAUAUCUGGAGGAACACCGGUGGCGAAGGCGGCAUCCUGGACCGAGAUUGACGCUGAUGCGCGAAAGCCAGGGGAGCAAACGGG
rnacentral:rRNA from 1 species